rnacentral:lncRNA from 1 species
GUAGGUUUGUCGUCAGUAAUGAUUGGGUACCCACUGUCCUCAUACUACUAACUAACUUUUCCCUGUCUCUCCAUUGAACUCUCAUCAUCCAGGCCAUUCAUUCUGCAUUCUCUUUCUGUGUGUGUGUGGGUGUGUAUGUGUGUGUGUGUAUGUAUGUGUGUGUGUGUGCCCCUGCCUGCCUCUGUGUCUGUCUCUCUCUCUCUCUUUCUCUCUGUUAAUGACUCAACCAUUCACCUAGUCACCCAAACUAUAACCUGAAAUUUACACUUAGCUCCUUGCUUCUAAUCUCCCUCUUGCUCUCUAUCACAAGAUCAUUUAUAUUUACUUCCUUAAAAAUACACAUAAGAAAGUCUUUAUUCUCAUUUUGCAGAUGAGGACACUGAACCUCAACAGGUUUAGUAAUUGUCUGCUACUGAAGACUAAGUAAAUGGAAAGGCAGGAUGGGAAUGCCUAGCUAUGUGCUUCUCAUUGUGCCAUGCUGCUUCCUCUAUGUCUUAAGCAGUGUCUCUGGAUGUGAAUUUAAUACAAGAGCUCAGUUAACCUCUACAUGGACUAUGCAUUGUUUGUGGACAAAGGAAACUACUCCUAUAAAUAGGUCUUAAUUCUGAAAGGAGAGCACUUCUACCACAUGACAUGAUGGUUUCAUCGAUCUAAAAGAUAAGACCAUCACCUGGCCUUUUGAGGAAUCCUCAUGUCACUGAAGCAACAGCCAAGGUGAGGUAACUGAUCUCUAUUAAGGGAAAAUACAAUGUUCUCCACAAUGGGACAUGUUGACAACAUAUAGAACCCAAGAGAUUCUCUGAAGUGCUUCCAGUAAUAAAAGUUAAUGUAAAACUAUAGCAACUCAACCAAAAGGACUACUAGGGGCUCAGACUCUUCAAGAACUAAAGUUUGAAUUACACCACUAAGUAAAUAAUAUCAACCUGAGGAGGACCUGCUUGAGAUUAAAGGAAACAUGAGGCUGGGUGCAUUGACUCAUGCCUGUAAUCCCAGACAUUGGGAGGCCAAGGCAGGAAGAUGGCUUGAACACAUGAGUUCAAGACAAGCCUGGGCAACAUGGCAAGACCCCUGUCUCUACAGAAAUUUAAAAAUAUAGCCAGGCAUGGUGGUGCAUGCUUGUGGUGUCAGCAACUCGAGGGACUGGGGGGGAGGAUCGCUUGAAACCAGCAGGUUGCGGUUACAGUGAGCUGUGUUGUUCACACCACUGCACUCUAGCCUGGGCCACAGAGUGAGACUCUAUCGUUAAAAAAAAAAAAAAAAGGAAGCAUAGAAAAGCAGAAGAGGAAAUUGCAACUAUCACCAGAAGCUGAUGAUCUGUUAACAACCAGUCAUAGAAAUGAUGACUGCAGUUACACAUGAUUUAUUCCUCGUCUGUUAUGCAAUAUUUGUGUAUGUUAAUCAGCUGUUUCCUUUUUCGUCUUUCCCUUUCUUAUCCUAUUUUACAUAUAAAGUGGGAUGAUGGCUAUUGUGCAAUUUAGUGUUUAAAUUACAGAAUAUCCAGAGUGACAGCUUUUCUGUUUGUAUGCAAAAUUGUUAAUUAUGUUAGGUAAAAGCACCAUAUUGUUGUGAUUGUUGUUGAAUGAAAUUUAAAUAAGGGUACAAGGGAGGCAAAUGGACACUGUAUAAGCAGCAGGUGAACUAUGUUGACUCUAUGUCUAUUAAUUGCCAGCUCUACCCCUACUCUGUAAUGCUCUUUUCUGAAUAACUGGCAGAAAUGGGAGCCUGAAAACCAUUUUUUCCAGGUUUCAUUGACAGUGGAGUCUGAGAGAAUAUAGUAUAAAAGAAGAGGGAAACCAUUUUAUUUUCUAUUAUUAAUGGUACAUCAAGAUGUGGCAGCAACAUCAGUAGAAGUGUAAUCUCCUGACUUUCUGCUCAGCUGCAAUGGUAUGAAUCCAACUGAAGAAGUAGCAGCAAUGCAUUCAGCAGCAACAGCAGGAUCAUAAACUCCUGCAUUUCCUGCUCAGCUGCAGUGGUGUGGAUCCAGCUGUAAAAGCAGCAGUCAUGCAUUCAGCCGCAGCAGCAGGAAGAUAAACUCCUAACUUUCCUGCUCAGUUGCCCGGAUGCAGUUUCAGCAUCAAUGGCAGCACCUCCAGCAGACAGAGGGCAAGGGCAGCUAGGCUUCAGUCCAGGUUCAAUCGCAGCUUCCAGUGUCUUUAUAACACUCUUCUUUUUUGUGUUCUUUCUGUGUUUCUAAGAGCACUGUAACCAAUUGUCUGCAUUAAAUCCCUCUUUGCUUGAAAUAUUUAGAAUGACCUCUGAUUUCUGGGCUUGGCACUAACUGACAUAGAUAUGAAUCUCUCAUUUAUAUAAUGUGUAAUAAAACUAUUUUCCAAGGUUGUUUGCUCUUUCUAGUCACAAUUUUCCACGCUAGACUGGAAUAUUGUUUGGGAAAUUGGGCUGACCAUCUCACCCAGAGAAACAGUGAUUCACAAUGAAAAAGCAGUCAUGUGAUCUUAGGCAAGUUAAAAUUACCCUUCAGGGUAAGUGUCCUUAAAAGUGAAAUAAUGAAUAUAAGCUUGUCCAAAGAAUUAAAAUAAUUAUGUAAACUGAAGUAUGCAAAUUAUUUGCUUAUGAAAUUAAAUGGUUUAAGAAAAAAA